GAAGUAAGCUGGAACUCAACGAAUCAAAUUAUUUGAAAGCAGUGUAGGUUUGAAUAUAUUCAAAGCCUUUUUCAGAAACAAGUUUGUAGAAAGGACAUAGGAAAAAAGUCAGGAUAAAAAAUGAGAAAAAUAUCAAAAACUGAAAGGGGACCAUAAUGGAAAAGAAAACACGUCACUUGGAUGAUAAAGAAAUAGAAUUCCUCUAAAUGAAUCAAGCAUUUGAUUGAUCAAAAGAUGAAUUGGAGGAGUGAUUAUUUGAAUUUAUUCAAAGGUGGGUUCUGGUGCAAUAUUCAAAAUGGUUGCAAUUGCAAAGACAAACAUUUAUCAAUAAAGUCGUAUUUGAAUAUGUUUUUAUGGCAAGUCAAGGAUAGUAGAUGCUGUCAAAAUAUUGAAUAUACCAUUGUCUUGCAAUGCAUGAAAAAAUUCUGUAAACAAAACAAACUCGGUUAUGAAUGAUAAUAGUUAACCUAUGUUAUUAACUUUGAAUCUGAUCAAAGUAUCUCAAAAAUAGAACUCUCCGAAAGAUAGAAUGAGAAGCAAUCAUUUUUACUUCUGUUCAUUAAUCUAAUUUUUAUAAUUAAUCUUAAUCUUACUUAUGUUCUUUCUUUUUUCAGGCAUGGUGUUCGAGCUUUUCCUUUUUCUGAAGGAUGUUGCUACUUUUUGCAUGCAAUCUUUUUUAUCUCUAAAUGACAAAAAUGCUUCUUAGGUUUUACUUUUUCAGACACAAUCUUUUCUGGAGAAUUAUCUGUAGAAAAGGCAACGCAGCCAAUGUCUGGAUAGAAUAAUGAAUAAAGUACCAUAACCUGAAAAAAAUCAAAACUGAAGGAAAUGCCUCACAAUUUUACUUAUUUGCAUGAGAAAUUGAGUAAGACAAAGUUCAACUAAACGAAAAAUGGAUAAAGUGGUGAAAUGAAGCAAAGCUUAUUUCAUGGUGAGUUCUAAUGAAAUUUUCAACCUCUUUUAUUUUGACAAAUAAGAUUAAUAUUUACUCUGAAAGAAUUGUCAUUAAAACUAAUGCAACGAUCUUUCCAGCCUACUAAAUAUCAGAAGCCUAUACAUGUUGCUAGAUGGUACCAAAAAAUACCUUUGUUUUUCAAUAUAUGACAAGACUCUCUCUAAGUAAUUAAAAUUCAUUAAAAUAUACCUAUUGCUUUUCUAUAAUAACACUUGUAAAAUCAGAUCAAAAUAUCAAAAAUUAUAAGAUUGUUUCGGAUAUCAAAUUAGAAAGCAUUUAUUUGUUUACAUGUAAAUAUCAACUUUGUUUUUCUUUUUCAGGUGUGGUGGUCGAAUUUUUCUUUUUUGGACUUUUUCACCAGUUUUUCGGAUGCAAUUUUUUCACUUUUUGUGAUAUAAUUUGUUUUUAGGUUUUGCUUUUUUCAGAAAUCUUUUCGGAGAAUUUUCUGCUGAAAAGACAAUGCAGCAAAUGCUUAGUUAGAAUAAUGAAUAAAGAUCUAAAACCUUGAAGAAGAUCAUAAUGGGAAGAUAAAGCAGGAAGUGCCUUACCACGAUUCUUAGCUGCUUGAGAAUUCACUUGAGCAAAGAUGAACUGAAGCAAAACCUGAUGACUUAAAGGUGAACUGAAGCAGUGCUUACUUUAAGGUGGGUUCUUAUGCAAUUUUCCACAUCUUUUUUCUUCAUAUAUAACAUAAAUGCUCACUCUGAAAGACUAAUCAUUAAUAGCAACACAACGAUCAAGCCAAAAUAAGUAAUAACAGGUCUUUGUUUGAUGCUGUUAGAGGCUAUGAAAAAUACCUUCUUUUAUUGACUGUCUUCUAAUAUUUGAAAAAGUAGAUGCUCAGCUAUAAGUGAUACAUUCAUUAUCUGGUCAAAAUAUCUAAAAAUGUAGAGCUAUCUAAGAGAUACUGUUUAAUCGAUUGGCUGUUUUACUCAUAUUUAUUAACUCUUUUUUUCUUUUCAGGUUGGCGAUUGAGUUUUUUAUUUUUCUGGAGGUUUUUUGCAUACAACCUCUGUAAUUCUUAGUGAUUCUCAUACCAUGCUUCGUAGGUUUUCCUUUUUUAGCAGCAAAGACAUUGGGACAGACGUCUGUAUGAAAUAUUGACUUAUGUUGAAGUGGUAAUAAUGCAGCAAAAUUACAAUAUUGGAGGGACAACAAUUUCAUCGCUGGAAGAUGAGAAAGCCAUUUACAAACGAACGGUGAGCGCAUUUCAUUUACAACAUUUCAAACAAAGCAGUAUUAAAAAGAUAAUUAAUCUUUAAUAAGUUCUUAUCGCUGUCUUUGGUUGUCAAGAACCUUGUCUUUGGAAAAGAAUCUAGGAAAGCCUGAUAUGCAUACAAAAAUACACUCGGAUUAUUUCCCCGUCUAAAAUUAUUUUAAAUAUUUACUUUUAAAUCAGCCGCUUGUACCAAUUUUACGAAUAUUUGAACUCAUAAUUAUUUAAUGUAUAGGAAGAAAAGCAUUUGUGUUUGAAAAACAAAGUUUUUUUAUGCGCUUUUUUGGAUAAAACUUCUUCUAAAAGUCACGUUUUCCAAGUCAAAUCUAGGCAAGUGUUUAUAAAUAUCACAAACACUCCAGGUUGUUCCAAGCCAAAGCAUGAUUUCAAAACACUUUUGAGAGCAUAGUUAGUAUUUUUUUCUUUCUCGAGGUAGAUAAAUGAAAAACGAUUUUAAAAAGAGUGUAAGUUUUAAGAAAUGACGAAUUGUCAGAAGGUCUUUAGCAAAAUAUUAUCUUAUUGACCUCAAAGAUCAAUCAUAAGUUCUUCGGCAUUGUUAAGAGUUGGAUAGGAUUUCUAAUUCUUUUUCAAACACUUUCUGAUAGAGCAUGCUAAAGGGUUGCUUCAAGCAAAUGUAUUAUCAUUCUAAAAUUGCUUAUUUAAAAAGCCAAUCCAAAUAUUGUCAUUUUAAAAACUCUAAAUGCAAAAAAUCAGCUCAAAUAGUCCAAAAUCUUGUAAUUUUAUCGACCUUUGCUUUCGCUAGUGGAAAUGUUGAGUUUUUGGGGUGUCUUGCUUGGUUGCUGUUGGUUGGUUAGAGUGUGUGUUUGGUUUUUGCUCUUUGGAAGAAAAGGGGUGUUGGUGAGAUGGGAAAUUUACAGCGAGAGCGAAGGUCGAUAUUCUUCUAAAAAAUCUUAAUUUCUUCAAAUUUCUUUAUUAAGUGCUAUGUCCUAAAGACUUUCAGAAAGAAACAGCAUUUUCAUUGUUAUGAGUCGAAACAUAAGUUGUUAAGAACAUAGAAAAAUUACGAAAUAUUUUACAUAUGAAGAUUAUUGAAAUGUUGCCUUAUGAAAAUCCCAUGAAAAUAACAUAUAGAAAUUAUCAAAAUUUAGUCAUUAAAAUUUUCUAAGUGACUUUGUUUUUCUAAUGCAUUCCAACCUAAUAAGAACUUGUCAAAGGUCCAUGAAUUCCCAAGAGAAUUUUGUUGAGCACAUGACAAUUGUAGAGAGCACGUGCAAGGCAAUUUUGGCAAUGGGAAAUUUUUUCUUCAUAGAAAAUACAGUGUUGUUACAUUUGGACAAAUAUUUGAUAUAAUGUGACCAAAAUGUUAGGUAUGAUUAAUAAAAGUAGCGGGUUUAAGUUCAAAAACUCUCUUUACUUAUUGUAAGAAAGGAGAAGGCAAUGCAAAUUCAUAGUUUCAGGGACUGGAGAUGCCUAAGAAGUAGAUGUUGACCUGCCUGGAGACCAAGGGUCUCUUGAGUACAGGGGAAGAAUAAUUGCACGAAGUUUCGUUUAGCUUCUAUCAAAAUUAUUGUUUUGUCAGAUCAUGAGGUCAAGCUUGAUUUGUUCCGUCGCUUGGUUCUCUUGAAAACAACUAGAAAACGUAUGAGUUGUUUUAGGCCUUUACUUGGUCGAGAAAUUUCAAUGUUUAUCUUGGACUAAUUGAUUAUAUAUUUUGCAAUGACGUCAUAUUGAAUUAUUUCCUUGAUGGAACUUCGAUAUUGCUGGCUUCUGUAUUAUUUUUUCAGGAGAUUUGCGUGGAGAGAAGCAAUUGCUGGAUGCAGAACUAUGCUGGAAUCAAGAAUUUGAAGACUUACGAACAAUUUGUCGAUAUUGGACUUGAAUAUUAGAGUAUUACAGUAGAUUACUAUUAAUUUUGAAUUGGUACUUUCUCGCAAGUUCGGCUCUAUUACCAAGACAGCAGAAGGUUUUUAAGUCUCCCGUUGGAUCCAAAGCAAUCGAGUAAUCUACUACAUGUAUCAAAUCCAACUAAGGAGCAUUUUUGAGUUUGAGUCACCCGUACAAUGUCUUUCGCUACCCGGUAAGGUACCUUAAUUUCAAUCUAUAAUAUAAGCUUUAAUUGAAGCUAUCGUUUCUUCCCCUACCGUUUAACUUACCCCUUACCCCUUACCCAUUACCCUUUACCCCUACCCUUUACCCUUUACCGCAAGGUCCCUCUAUUUCAAUAUAAUAUAAACAUCAAUUUAAGAUAUUGGUUUCUCCCCUACCCUUUACCUUAAGUCUAUUAUUUCUCUAUAAGCCCAUUUAGAGUUUCAUCGCUGGACAACUAAUUCCUUUAUAAGCAAUAAGCCACAUACAGUUGCUAAGUGUGUAUUUAAUUUUCCCGUUCAAGUCAUAUCCCUUAUACGAUAUACUAGUUUGCGAGAAAGUGCAUUAUUUAUUCAAUUUAACGCAUUGCAAUCAUAAGUUUGGGCUUAUUCUCUAAAUGGAUGUGAGCAAGGCGCCUGUUCUCGUCUGUUUUUAGGAUAAGUCCUUUCGUUUCUACUUAGAUUUGUUUGUAAUUGUAGUUUAAUUUUUGUAUUUAGUUUGUAGUAUGCUUAGGAGACUGUUUUCCGUGUUGCGUUAGGGGUUAUGGCACGGCGUUUUAAUCGGGGAGUUACCAAGAGGGCCUUGUCCUUCUUGUUAACCCUUUGCUUAAAACGCCAUGUUUACAUAACCCCUAACUCAACAUUGAAAGGGUUUUCUUAGCACGGUGUUUUAAUCAGAGGGUUAACAAGGGGAACUUCUUUUUCCUCUUGUUAACCCUUUGCUUAAAACACCAUGCUAAGGCAAACCCCGACUGAAAACAGUCUCCUCGGCACGUAGAGUAGACCUUAAAUUGUAAGUAGAGUAAGAUCGCUUGAAUGAAGUGGAGAAAAUCGAACUGAAUUGUUUUCAACCCCCCGUCUUUCUACUGCUACAAACGAGGCUACUGAACCCCCGUCUUUCUGUAGAACGAAAACGAGGCCAGGCGGGCAAAUUAGAGGCACCUGAUUGGCUAUUAAACAAUGGAAAAACAAUAAAGAAAUAACAAGCUCUGAUUGGUCAGAAAACAAUAGAAUAAUUGAAAUAGCGAGUUCUGAUUGGUUGAAAUUACAAUAGAGCGGGGCCAAAAUAGCGUAAUCUGAUUGGUUAAUAAACAAUGGUGGCCCUCCGCGGCCAAGGGCUAGCUCAAAAUUGGUAUAUUUGUAGGUGACGGCUCCUGCCCGCAGCCACCAAAAGGGCUGAAAUGGAGCAAUCUGAUUGGUUGAAAACAAUGAGCUGUCAAUCAUUUGCGGCUCCAAGCCGCCUUUAGUUCAGCCACCUGUCGCGGCCAAGGUUUUUGGCUGAAUACAAUAGAAAGCCGGGGGACUUUGCCACCAGAGUCUCCGAAACUCUUUUCCCAAUUUCAAAAGAGUUUUCAAUAGAAAUCCGGGGGAAUAUCUUUUGAAUUCCAAUUGUAAUUAUUGGAGACUUCCAUUGAAAUCUUUACCAAGUUUCAAGGAUUGAACAAAGGAAUAACCAUAGAAAUACAAAGCGUCUUUGUCAUGAACACAAUCAAAAUUCUAGGAAGUCGGGGGUACAUUCAAUAGAAUUAAAGUUGAAUUAUAAUAGAAAAAAGGAGGUAAAUUCAAUAGCAACUAAGUAAAAAUACAAUAGAAAAUCGGGGGUCAAUUGAACAGUAUCUAAGGCAAAAUACAAUAGAAAAUGGGGGGUAAAUUGAACAGUAUCUAAGGUAAAAUACAAUAGAAAAUCGGGGGUAAA